rnacentral:pre_miRNA from 1 species
GAUCACCUGCUUCACGGCGUUCUCGAACUCCUCAACACGAGCUUGUAGGGACAAGGAAUCUGAGGAAACAGACUCUUGACCCGGAGUGAGUGCCGUGAUGGGUGGAA